CCUGGGAGCCUCCAUAUGCCAUGGGUGAGGCCCUAAAGCAAACAAACAAAAGAAAAAAUGCCCCCCCCCAAAAACCUCAGUCAAAUCCCACCUUCUCUCUAGUGAAUUGCUUCAUCAUCCUAUCUCUAUACUUUCAAACAAGAUAGCUUGCUCCCGAAUUUGGUUUAGGAAUGAAACUUUUAAUAACAAACCCAACUUAAAAAAAACCAUCUGGCCCAUUGCUAUUCCAGGAGCAGUGAGGUUUGUGGGGGAACUGGGGAUGUGGUAGGUAGGGACUGGAACCCAGGCUUCACCACCUACUAGCUGUAUAGGCUUCCAGGUCACCUGAUAGCUCUGGGACACAGUUCUAUAUUCUGUUCAGUACCUCCUGUUGGGAGUGGAUACCUGUCAAAGUAAGUGCCUGACACGCCGCAGGUGAUCAGCAAUUCCAUCCUCUUCCAGAACCAAACCAUGGUCACUGAAGAGUCAGGAGAGCUGAGUCAAGAGGCCAUUCCACUGUUCCCCAAGGUCUGUUCCUGUGGCCUUUGCCACAGCAACACCAGAGCUGGGUAUACACUGGAUUUCGACACUGCUGUUCAUUUUUAACUUCCUUGAGACAAAUUGUACUUUUCCAACUCUGGUCACCACAAUGAAUCACAAUACAAUACUUUUUUCCAGCCAGCCAACAAUGACACUCAAUUUAACCAGAGGAAGAUCUGAAGUCAGAAUACACAGUGCUGAAACCAUGCCAGAGUACCCAUGGAUAUUGCAGAGAUGACAACCAAAUGUCACCCACAUCUCCAGUAUCCCUAGGGCUUUCUCAGGGGCCCUUCACUGAACUCUGAACAUAAGUUUCGGCUACUGCCAGCCAAAGCUUCUGUGACCUAGUAGUACUCCUGGGAGAUCCUGUGCAGUGGUGGUUCAGCCCAUACUCUCAGAAGCCCCGACAGCUGGGAGAGGUGCCUACUGGGAUUAUUAAGACAAUUUAGAAGCAAAAGACCCCCAGAAUCUAUUUGUCUCAGGACACGAACUGCUUCUUUUAACCUUCAGAAUACUAUGCUCAAGGCCUCACCCAUGCAUACGGAAUCGGCAAAUCGGAACCGCAGCUGCAGGUUUACACCACAGUCAUCCCAACACUGGACCCAAACUGCAGCUUUGCGGUAAGGCCGGAUCCUUAACCUACCGAGUGAGGGCAAGGACUGAACCUGCAUCCUCACCGACACUCUGCUGGUCCUUAAUCCGCUGAAACACAACAGAAACUCCUGACCCUGGCUAUUAAAUAAACACGUGUUCUCUUCUUUUCAUUGGACAUUUGGCCUUCAGCAGAUGACUGAACACCCACAUACCAGGCUCAGGCCUCACAGGCAUCAUGAAGGCUACAAAUAAGACCUCUGCUAUGCAGCAUGUGAACUAACAGCGCAGGCCAAAACCAACAAGCCACUGACACGUAAGGGUUUACAGAAGCAAUGCACACUUGCCAUGA